rnacentral:rRNA from 1 species
CAGAACGAACGCUGGCGGCGCGUCUUAAACAUGCAAGUCGAACGAUCUGUAGCAAUACAGGGAGUGGCGGACGGGUGAGGAACACGUAGGAAUCUACCUUGAAGAGCGGGACAACUUUGGAAACCGGGGCUAAUACCGCAUAGUACAGAGAUGUUAAAGGGCUAGCAAUAGUCGCUUCGAGAUGAGCCUGCGGUCUAUCAGCUUGUUGGUGAGGUAAUGGCUCACCAAGGCUACGACGGAUAGUCGGUCUGAGAGGAUGAUCGGCCACACUGGCACUGAGACACGGGCCAGACUCCUACGGGAGGCAGCAGUUAAGAAUCUUGCGCAAUGGGGGAAACCCUGACGCAGCGACACCGCGUGAAGGAUGAAGGCUUUCGGGUUGUAAACUUCGGUAGACUGGGAAGAAGAACUACGUUCGUUGAGGGCGUAGAGUGACGGUACCAGUCUGAAGCCCCGGCUAAUUACGUG